rnacentral:rRNA from 1 species
GUUGAACGCUGGCGGCAUGCCUUACACAUGCAAGUCGAACGGCAGCGGACCUUCGGGUGCCGGCGAGUGGCGAACGGGUGAGUAAUAUAUCGGAACGUACCUUUCAGUGGGGGAUAACGUAGCGAAAGUUACGCUAAUACCGCAUAUUCUGUGAGCAGGAAAGCAGGGGAUCGCAAGACCUUGCGCUGAUUGAGCGGCCGAUAUCAGAUUAGCUAGUUGGUGAGGUAAAGGCUCACCAAGGCGACGAUCUGUAGCGGGUCUGAGAGGAUGAUCCGCCACACUGGAACUGAGACACGGUCCAGACUCCUACGGGAGGCAGCAGUGGGGAAUUUUGGACAAUGGGCGCAAGCCUGAUCCAGCCAUGCCGCGUGAGUGAAGAAGGCC